AAAAUUUUAAUUUUCAUUCUUUCCCUCCAUUAGUUCGACAAAAUUUUACUUUGAUGUCGACUAACCCUAGAAACACAACACACUCUCUCUCUUUCUCGGCCGCGGCCGCACGCCCAAUUCUUUGUUAUCUCUCCCUUCCAUUUCUCCCUGCCAUCGCUGGAGACCACCAUUUCUGGCCAUCAAUUCACGACACCGCCACCACCAAUCGAACCAGCACCUCAAUACGAUCAAAACCCAAGCCCAGAUGUUGCUGCACGCGACCCUCCAAUCCACGAUGCUGAUGCUCCCUUACCUUCGUCGAUUUUUGGCCGCCAUCUCGCAACACCUCCACCACUGCUUUGAUUCAUCUUCAAUUCUUCAAUCGCCUCAAACUCAAGUAGCAAAGCAGAUGUCCUCAAAGCUCAAGCAGAUUUCUGGAUUCGAUACUUCGAUUCCAGUUUUUGAUUUCAGAUUCUUCAAGCUGGGUUCGAUUUCGAAUUUCUGGGUAACUUGCUUGGUUCGGCUUUCUUCGCUUGGUUCGGAUUGCAUGAUUUGCAUCCCAUAGGACCAUUAUUUUAACAAUUUAAUUUGUCUCAUUUGGUAUUUCUUGUUAAUUGAAUCACUACUUCCUAAAACAAAGGAAUGCAUACAAUUAUCCCUGUUCUCUGUUCUCUCUUUGUCCGACACGGCCGCAUUGGUAAGUCUGGGUUUCUGUUUUGAUUCAAUCAAUCAUUCAAGUAUCUUGGUUUCUGAGUAUUCAGUUUUCUGUCUUCAAGUCUUCAGAUUUCUGGGUCUUUGGUUGUUUGAGUUGAAAACAUUGGUGUUUGGUGAUUGGGUUUUCAGGGAUUUAGUUUGUGAUUGUUGAUUAGAUUGAUAGUUGGUAUAAUUUAAAUAGUUUGACUAUGAUUUUGAAAUGGGUUGGCAUAUUUUAAUGGUAUGUACCGAUAGCAGGGUCUUAGUUUUUGUUACUCUCUCUCUCACUCUCAGAGAUAUACUGAUUUGAUAAUGAGGUUUUUGUACUGGUGUUAAUCUCACUGCCACCCCCUUAUCAUAUCCAUCACAAUCUCUCUCUGUUUUGAGUAUGCGUGAGAAAGUGUGCAAGUAGUCCUCUGUCUGUGAAGAAAUUGAAAGAGUGGGAAUAGAAAGUAGUUUCUGUGGGAGAAGAAGAGCCUCUGCUUGAAUGACACAUAGUUGGACUUUGCGGUUUCUGCGAUUAUUGGGAACAUUUUCUCUGCGAUCUUCACCUUCUUCUUUGCUUUGGGUUGGAGGCUAUGAGAAUGGAAAUUUUGUCAUCUGGUCCAAUCUUUUCAUACGUGAUAUUAUUUACCACUGCAAUCUGAUUCUCAAGUAUUCAGAAGGAACUAACAGGACCUGGGUUCGUUUACUCUUUACAUAGUCACCAUAAUUUUACUUUACUUGUAAUUUUUAUUUAUGUUAAAGUAGCCUCUGAUUGCUAACUAGUCUAGUCCAUUCCUGUAUUGCAGUAUAAUGCGCAGUUUAAAGUUUUUUGAACCA